GCAGUCGAGCGGUAGAGAGUAGCUUGCUACUCUUGAGAGCGGCGGACGGGUGAGUAAUGCCUAGGAAUCUGCCUAGUGGUGGGGGAUAACGUUCGGAAACGGACGCUAAUACCGCAUACGUCCUACGGGAGAAAGCGGGGGACCUUCGGGCCUCGCGCCAUUAGAUGAGCCUAGGUCGGAUUAGCUAGUUGGUGAGGUAAUGGCUCACCAAGGCUACGAUCCGUAACUGGUCUGAGAGGAUGAUCAGUCACACUGGAACUGAGACACGGUCCAGACUCCUACGGGAGGCAGCAGUGGGGAAUAUUGGACAAUGGGCGAAAGCCUGAUCCAGCCAUGCCGCGUGUGUGAAGAAGGUCUUCGGAUUGUAAAGCACUUUAAGUUGGGAGGAAGGGUAGUAACUUAAUACGUUGCUACUUUGACGUUACCGACAGAAUAAGCACCGGCUAACUUCGUGCCAGCAGCCGCGGUAAUACGAAGGGUGCAAGCGUUAAUCGGAAUUACUGGGCGUAAAGCGCGCGUAGGUGGUUCAGUAAGUUGGAUGUGAAAGCCCCGGGCUCAACCUGGGAACUGCAUCCAAAACUGCUGAGCUAGAGUACGGUAGAGGGUGGUGGAAUUUCCUGUGUAGCGGUGAAAUGCGUAGAUAUAGGAAGGAACACCAGUGGCGAAGGCGACCACCUGGACUGAUACUGACACUGAGGUGCGAAAGC
rnacentral:rRNA from 1 species